CUCGUAAGAGCAAAGCAGGGGACCGUUCGGGCCUUGCGCUACCGGAUAUGCCCAGGUGGGAUUAGCUAGUUGGUGAGGUAAGGGCUCACCAAGGCGACGAUCCCUAGCUGGUCUGAGAGGAUGAUCAGCCACACUGGAACUGAGACACGGUCCAGACUCCUACGGGAGGCAGCAGUGGGGAAUAUUGCACAAUGGGCGCAAGCCUGAUGCAGCCAUGCCGCGUGUAUGAAGAAGGCCUUCGG
rnacentral:rRNA from 1 species